CAAUAGCGUAUAUUUAAGUUGUUGCAGUUAAAAAGCUCGUAGUUGGAUUUCGGGUGGGACGCAGCGGUCUCGCAUUGCGUUUGUACUGCUGCAGCCCUCCUUCUUGCCGGGGGCGGCCUCUCGGACUUCACUGUCUGGGGGUCAGAAUCGGCGAUGUUACUUUGAGUAAAUUAGAGUGUUCAAAGCAAGCUUACGCUCUGAAUAUAAUAGCAUGGGAUAACACGACAGGACUCUGGCCUAUCGUGUUGGUCUAUAGGACCAGAGUAAUGAUUAAGAGGGACAGUCGGGGGCAUUCGUAUUCCGUUGUCAGAGGUGAAAUUCUUGGAUUUACGGAAGACGAACAUCUGCGAAANCANNNGCCAAGGAUGUUUACAUNGA
rnacentral:rRNA from 1 species